GCGGAAGAGCGGAGAGAAACAAAUAUCUGUUGUUACAUGCUUUUAAAUUUGAAAGAUUACAUAACGCUGGAUAAGAAAAUUGAAAAGAAGGGGCGAGGCGAUGAUGGCCCGCGUAGGAAAGCUGCGGGGUAUGCUGAAGGUCUCGUGUUUGAUCCGAAGAAAGGUUUCUACGACAAAGGUUUCUACUGUUAAGGUUCAUUGGUCAUAUGAAGUUUGCACACGUCAAGCUUGACAUCCUAAAGACAUCCUACACAAUGCAUUCUGAAAACGAUACCGUGCAGGUUCGUUGGCGUAUACGUGGUGUCAUCACAGGCUGGAAGGUAUUUUCUGUGUUUUGGAAGUAAAAUUUGUAAAAUACAACAUGUCAUAAAAUAAGCGCUAACCAGGAAAUAUGGUACGACGGCUUUUUUAUUUUUUUUACGUUAAUGCUGAAUGGAAAAGUCUAUAAGCAUAUUGCGGACAAGAUGAUGCCUAAUCAGGAUACAGCCACGAAAAAGAAAGAUAUGCGCAUGGCAGGGAAAUUAGCGCUAUUCACAGGCCUUGUAAACAUAUUUAGUAACAACGAAGAUUCUUUGAAUUGAGCUCUGUCUUAAAAUCGCAUCAAUUGAAGUGAAUCCAUUGCUGAGUGCUGAAAUUAUACGAUUUUAUCCGUCACAACGAAUAGACCAAGAGGAAUGAUUUUUCCAGUCGAUGGUUUCGAAUGUUGCUGACAUAUCUAUUUCGUUGCAAAUGCAUCAUUAUGAAAUGAUGAUCGGUAGUAAAUGAAAGAUAUGUGAAUUAAAAAGAUGUGUACAUUAACUAAACAGUAUCUUUGUUUGAUUACAAACUAUCUUCAUCUAAUUUUUUAGUGAAAAUGUCCGAA